AGAGAAGGAUAUAUCAUCACAUCAAGUAUGAAGACAGCUGCUUGGCCACCCUACCAGUGAGAAGUGUGGGGUGGGGAGCACAGGGCCAUAGCUGCGAUUUCUGUGCAGAAUUAAACCUGCCACAUAAAAGGAAAAGGGUCCCUGAGCUUGAUUAAGACCUAAAAGUAGAUAUUUUUUUCUCUUCCGUGCAAUUACGAGGAGUUUCUCAGCAACACUCAGGAAUACCAAUGAGCAGCUCUAUGGUAACCAAGGAGACAAGUCCAUUAGCAAAGUCUUAACCAGGAAUCUUCCAGGACCAGACACACUCCCACAGCUAACCUCCACCAGAAAGUGCCAGAGAAUAGCAUGACCUGACUCUUAACUCAGAUGACUCUACAUGGGAGUCUGGUACCCCCAAAAUCCCCAUGAACCUGAGAAAGUUCAAACCUUCUAGAUGCUUCUUACAGAGAAGAAUGAUCAGUCAGGGUGAUGCUAGACCCUGGAUGGGAGCUACAGGGUUGCCAGGAAACACCCAGCUUGUUGAAAUUAUUGCCUUCCCAACAGAGGCUGUUUUACAUAAAAUAUGCCGCAAAUA
rnacentral:lncRNA from 1 species